rnacentral:rRNA from 1 species
AGAUGGCGACCGGCGCACGGGUGAGUAACACGUAUCCAACCUGCCGAUGACUCGGGGAUAGCCUUUCGAAAGAAAGAUUAAUACCCGAUGGCAUAAUGAUUCCGCAUGGUUUCAUUAUUAAAGGAUUCCGGUAAAGGAUGGGGAUGCGUUCCAUUAGGUUGUUGGUGAGGUAACGGCUCACCAAGCCUUCGAUGGAUAGGGGUUCUGAGAGGAAGGUCCCCCACAUUGGAACUGAGACACGGUCCAAACUCCUACGGGAGGCAGCAUG